UACGUAGGGUGCAAGCGUUGUUCGGAAUCAUUGGGCGUAAAGCGCGUGUAGGCGGUUUGUUAAGUCGAUUGUGAAAUCCCUGGGCUCAACCGAGGAAGUGCAGUCGAAACUAACAGCUAGAGGACGGCAGAGGAUGGUGGAAUUCCAAGUGUAGAGGUGAAAUUCGUAGAUAUUUGGAGGAAUACCGGUGGCGAAGGCGGCCAUCUGGACCGGUCCUGACGCUGAGACGCGAAAGCGUGGGGAGCAAACAGG
rnacentral:rRNA from 1 species